rnacentral:rRNA from 1 species
UGUUUCGGCUAGGGGGCCAUCCCGGCUUACCAACCCGAUGCAAACUGCGAAUACCGGAGAAUGUUAUCACGGGAGACACACGGCGGGUGCUAACGUCCGUCGUGAAGAGGGAAACAACCCAGACCGCCAGCUAAGGUCCCAAAGUCAUGGUUAAGUGGGAAACGAUGUGGGAAGGCCCAGACAGCCAGGAUGUUGGCUUAGAAGCAGCCAUCAUUUAAAGAAAGCGUAAUAGCUCACUGGUCGAGUCGGCCUGCGCGGAAGAUGUAACGGGGCUAAACCAUGCACCGAAGCUGCGGCAGCGACACUGUGUGUUGUUGGGUAGGGGAGCGUUCUGUAAGCCUGUGAAGGUGU